GGUGACCGGCCACACUGGGACUGAGACACGGCCCAGACUCCUACGGGAGGCAGCAGUGGGGAAUAUUGCACAAUGGGCGGAAGCCUGAUGCAGCGACGCCGCGUGAGGGAUGACGGCCUUCGGGUUGUAAACCUCUUUCAGUAGGGAAGAAGCGAGAGUGACGGUACCUGCAGAAGAAGCGCCGGCUAACUACGUGCCAGCAGCCGCGGUAAUACGUAGGGCGCAAGCGUUGUCCGGAAUUAUUGGGCGUAAAGAGCUCGUAGGCGGUUUGUCGCGUCUGCUGUGAAAGCCCGGGGCUCAACCCCGGGUCUGCAGUGGGUACGGGCAGACUAGAGUGCAGUAGGGGGAGACUGGAAUUCCUGGUGUAGCGGUGAAAUGCGCAGAUAUCAGGAGGAACACCGAUG
rnacentral:rRNA from 1 species